AACGUAGGAGACAAACGUUAUCCGGAGUUACUGGGCGUAAAGGGCGUGUAGGUGGUUGCGUAAGUCUGGCGUGAAAUUUUUCGGCUUAACCGGGAAAGGUCGUCGGAUACUGCGUAACUAGAGGACGGUAGAGGCGUGUGGAAUUCCGGGUGUAGUGGUGAAAUGCGUAGAGAUCCGGAGGAACACCAGUGGCGAAGGCGACACGCUGGGCCGUACCUGACACUGAACCGCGACAGCAUGGGGAGCAAACGAGG
rnacentral:rRNA from 1 species